CAACACGUGCUAGCAUGUUCAUCUUGCAAACAUGAUCUAAUCCAAUUAGACCCUUGAUCAAUUCCCUUGUAUGUGACCCAUUGGGUUCCUUAUCUUAGCCAGCAGUAGGUGCAGGUGCAAGUUGACCUAACCUGAUUAGAAUACCUCUAAUCCAAUUUAGGUUCAAUUUAGUGCUAAACCUGAGUUGGCAAUCAGAACCUUUCUGAUGCUUUGAUCUAAUCAAACUCUUUGAUCCGAUCAACCCACAAGACAAGAUUGACAUCUAGCAACGUAUCAUGUCUACCCGGAAGAUGAGAAAUGUAUUGGACAAAUCCAAACAUACCCUUCAGUGGCAAGUUACCAUGCAAUUCAAUCCCUCAGUCAUACUACAUCCUGAAUAAGUGCAUAAGUAUGGAUCAAUAUCAAACUCAAUUACUUAUUCAUGUCUCUCUCAAUCUUUUAUAUGAUAAUUCAAACAAUGAAACAUUAGAAACUCUUUCUAAUAUUCAUUUUGCUUUGAUCAAAGGCUUCUUGAAUCAUCAUAAGAUUAGAGUAAGUAGGAUGUUAACUUCUCUUACUAGAAG
rnacentral:lncRNA from 1 species